rnacentral:rRNA from 1 species
CCAGCAGCCGCGGUAAUUCCAGCUCCGCAAGUGUAUUCCUAUACUGUUGCGUUUAAAUAGCUCGUAGUUGGAUCUGCGUGUUUAGCGCGCGGUGUUACUUCACUGUAGCUACUGUGACGCGGCACAAAGUGCUAAGUACUUUCAGAAAGUAGUUAGCCAGUUUACUUUGAACAAAUCAGAGUGCUCAAAACGGGCGUUUCGCUCGAAUGUUCUUGCAUGGAAUAAUGGAAUAGGACCGCGCGUUCUAUUUUGUUGGUUUUCGGGACGCGGGUAAUGAUUAAGAGGGACAGACGGGGGCAUUUGUACUGCGACGUGAGAGGUGAAAUUCUUGGAUCGUCGCAAGA